rnacentral:lncRNA from 1 species
GGGAGGAGACUGCCGGCUUUACUGAAUGCUUCACCGUAGAGCUUGAAGGUGCAGGAGCUGUCACAAGACUGGUUGUCCAACGAAAUGGUUUAAAAUAUGUUAUGAAGCUGAAAUUUGAUAUGCUUGCUUGCAGUGGAUUUUUUUCGGAAAUCUUCAUCAAAAUGGCUGCAAGUAUAGAAGGAGUGAAUAAAAUUCAGCUAAGACAAAACAGAAAUUGCAAUCUUUUUAGACCAGCUCUAGCAACUCAACAGAAGAUGAUGGAGACUUAAAAACUGGCAGGCACUCAGGACCCAGUGCAGCAAAACACUUAAACACGUUCUUAACUUUAAGAUUGCGAACAAUCCCUCUGACCUCCAUGGGAAGGAGAACAGAGACACAGAGGCCAAGUGACUCACCGAAGCUCACACAACAGCAUGGAUAUAUACUUAAUGAUCACUUCAUAGCAAACAGCUUAAAGUACCUUUUUGUUGUUGUUCUCUUCCUUUAGGGGCAAUCAGCUCCUCACUGAACUCUUACUAUGGGCAAUCAAUAUCCAGAAUUAUACUUCAUCAAUUCUGCAGGAAAAUUUAUUGUUUCAUUUUUCAUAAGCAAAGCCAUGAGUUUGCCCUUGUUAAAGUUGAUAAUGGAGACAUUUUGGAGGAUGCUUCAAGGAGCUGACCAACAUCAUUCUAGGACAACUGAUUUCCAUCCAGUACAUGACCAAACAGAUGAUUGCUAGUGUUGAACAGUAGAUCUACUGGCCUUCUGACAGAUUUGUGGUGCAACUUCAUCAGCAAACAACCCAGGUAAGAUUGCAGAUUUCCCACAUAAGGAAAAUGUUAACAACAUUUUUUUUUAUUUGGGGCUAAUGCUAAUUUUGAAAUUUGGAUUUAGAAGACAGAAUUUGUUAAUCCUAAAACUAGACCCCUUAUUUACCAUUAUGCCAAAGAUCUGUAAACAGUGAUCACUUGUUAAUUUUGGUAAAUGUACCUUUUAGUCCAUCCUGUAAAUCUUUAAGUAUGUAUGAAAGUGUACUAAGAUUUGAUAAAGUCCUACACGCUUCGUCUCAUCUAUGAGUAGCUUGGCAAUAUCUUGUGCUGUAUGCA